rnacentral:rRNA from 1 species
ACACUACGGGACGCAGCAGUGGGGAAUAUUGCACAAUGGGGGAAACCCUGAUGCAGCGACGCCGCGUGAGUGAAGAAGUAUCUCGGUACGUAAAGCUCUAUCAGCAGGAAAGAAAAUGACGGUACCUGACUAAGAAGCCCCGGCUAACUACGUGCCAGCAGCCGCGGUAAUACGUAGGGGGCAAGCGUUAUCCGGAUUUACUGGGUGUAAAGGGAGCGUAGACGGCGCUGCAAGUCCGGAGUGAAAGCCCAUGGCUUAACCA